rnacentral:rRNA from 1 species
CCUACGGGUGGCAGCAGUGAGGAAUAUUGGUCAAUGGACGAGAGUCUGAACCAGCCAAGUAGCGUGAAGGAUGACUGCCCUAUGGGUUGUAAACUUCUUUUAUAUGGGAAUACAAUGUUCCAUGUGUGGUAUUUAGUAUGUACCAUAUUAAUAAGGAUCGGCUAACUUCGUGCCAGCAGCCGCGGUAAUAUGGAGGAUUCGAGCGUUUUCCGGAUUUAUUGGGUUUAAAGGGAGCGUAGGUGGAUAGUUAAGUAAGUUGUGAAAGUUUGCGGCUCAACCGUGAAAUUGCAGUUGAAACUGGCAGUCUUGAGUACAGUAGAGGUGGGCGGAAGUCGUGGUGUAGCGGUGAAAUGCUUAGAUAUCACGAAGAACACCGAUUGCGAAGGCAGUUCACUGGACUGCAACUGACACUGAGGCUCGAAAGUGUGGGGAUCAAACAGGAUUAGAUACCCUAGUAGUC